ACUUCACGUAAGGCGGAGCACUGCCUUACCAUCUCUAGACCACAUCAGACGCCUUACCAGUGCCUUAAAAACUAUGUAUAGGGUUGCAUGGAAGGAGUAUCUACAUCGAACAUGCUGCGGCAUGGUUAUUGAUGAAUGUGUAAUAUUUCCUUUGCUAUUGUAGCAAUUCAUUCAGACUUGCUAUCUAUAUUUGGUGAAUGAAUUGUUCUUAUUUUGCUCAGCUUUUCCUUUUUGAGACCGAAAUGCCAUUAUCAAAUUAUUUUGUACAUUAGAAGGCAUGUGCCUUAAAGAACCCUUCAAAGAGCUUGUUGAGAUUCUUUUCAAGCCAAGGCUUAUAUAUGCAAAGCACAUGAUGCAUAUUAGUCAGCAAUGGAAAGCUGGAACCAGUGUGCUUUAUACAACAUUAAGACAUAGUAAACUAUUUCUUGCCUUUUUAAUUCUGAAUUUGUUGGAAAAGGCACUUAAGUUGUUAUGUAUUACAACAAAAACAAACUCAGCCUCAUCUCAACUUAAUGGGUCGACUACAUGGUUUCGUGCAAAAACAAAAAGGAUUAAUAUAAGUAACAUGAAAGUAAAAAAGAAAGAAACCCAACAAAAAUUAAGGAAAAUCUCAACUAAGUGAGGUCGACUACAUGUAUUCCCUUUCAAAAAUAUCUCUUAAGGUAUAUGCCAUGUCUUUAUUUCUUGUCUUUAGCUUUUUUCAUGUUUGUACAUUAUAUAUUUUCAGCAGUAUUUAUUUACUUUUGAGGAAAUGCUUCGGAGGCUUAUGUUCUAUGUAUUGAGCCUUGUGCCUUGAACAUUUGCCAAGUCGAGUCACAACUUAAGCCUUUGAAAAUAUUGGAUGAUAUCUUAGCUACCACCACCACCACAUGAUAUUCUUUCUUGCUGAAACCACAUGAAAAUUUUGUUUCUUUAUGAUGAUAUGCAUCUGUGGCUUUCUUCGCAAUACAUGUAAAGCUGUGUGGAUUGUGUCGUCAUAUUUCACACAUUUGGUGCAUAAGGUAGCCACCUUUGAGCAUUCCAUGUGUUUGCAACCUUAACAUAUCUUCAUGUGUGGCGACAUUGCACACCAGCACUUAAGGUAUGAUGGUUGUUUUGAUGGGGAAAAGGCUUAAUAUAAUACAGUGUUACAGGUCACUAGAGUUGGUUAUUGCAUGAAAAAAGAUCUCAAUUAGAUAUUUUUAACUGAGGGGUGUGAUGAAGCUGUAAAUGUCACUUCAACAACUGGGGAAGAUGACUUCUUUUAAUGACAUAUGUACUAGAAAAGUAUAGGUUUGACCUUAAUGUAUUUCUAUUAUUUGAUAACAUCUGGGCAUUGUGAAGGAGAUCCUAUUCUUAUCAAACAAAAGGAGUCCUCAUGAAUUUGUUGUUUAUAGAUGAAGUAGUUUUGAUUGGAAAGACGGUUAUAGUAUUAGUCGGAGCAGAAGCGAGGGCAUGGUUAAGAAAUGAUGAACAAGAGAUGCUUAAUGAGAACCUUUUUUUUCUUGUUUGUUAUACCACUUCUCAACUUUUCUUCAAAAAAGUACAUACCCAUUUUCUCUUUAUAUGGUCUAUGAGGGUCAUGAUAUGUUCAUUAUUUUAUCAAAUAUUUACUCCAGGUUUCUCCAAAGAUCCCUCCAUAGUUUUUCAUUCCUUUAGUGUUGUAAAUUAUGUGUCAUUUUGGUUGGUUUAAAUAGUUAAAAAAAAAAAAAGGACAAACUCGUUGACGCUUUUUCACAUAGUUUUUCUCUUUUUGAUCCUCAUUUCUUUUAUCUCUUUUACUGUUUCAGAAAUUAUGUCGUUCAAUUUGUCUUAGAGCUAAAGAUCCCAACCGCCACUUCCUACUUAAUUUCUCAAUUUGAAGGGAACUAUGUGCACCUGUCAACACAAAAGUUUAGCAGCAAUGUUGUUGAAAAGUGUCUCAAAGUUUUUGGAGAGGAUAACCGAUCAAGGAUCGUCCAUGAAUUUCUAUCUUAUCCACACUUUGAACAGUUGUUGCAAGACCCUUUUGCAAAUUAUGUGAUUCAAUCUGCUCUUGGAGUUACUAAGGGUCCUCUCCAUGCUUCAUUGGUGGAAGCCAUCCGUCCCCAUGCAGCAAUUUUGCGCACCAGCCCGUAUUGCAAGCGUAUUUUCUCACGCACACUUUUGAAGAAAUGAUGUACAUUCUCCCCAUGGUAAGGGGCAUCGUUGUGCUUCACUAUCAGUACUACUCUAUAACUAUCGGAUUUAGGAACUGCAGCCAUAAGAGUCUCUUGCUGGUUAUUCUUUGCAGGAUUGGAUGGCUCAAGUUGAUUAGAUAUGGUUUCCAUGAUUUCUGUAUAGUGUAAAAGAUAAGAAUUUUUGCUUCUAGUUCAUAAAUGUGGACAUUGAUAUGUAUUAUUGUCAUGGAAAUUAAAUUUUGAAUAUUUUUAUCUUCUAACAAUGGAAUAGUUGUUCUAUGACAUUGUAAAUGGAGUUGUCUACCCACCAUUUUUUUUAUGAAUUCAGUCUAGUUACCAUCUCCUAUUUAUAUUGAA